UGGGGAAUAUUGCACAAUGGGCGCAAGCCUGAUGCAGCCAUGCCGCGUGUAUGAAGAAGGCCUUCGGGUUGUAAAGUACUUUCAGCGGGGAGGAAGGCGAUAAGGUUAAUAACCUUGUCGAUUGACGUUACCCGCAGAAGAAGCACCGGCUAACUCCGUGCCAGCAGCCGCGGUACUACGGAGGGUGCAAGCGUUAAUCGGACUUACUGGGCGUAAAGCGCACGCAGGCGGUCUGUCAAGUCGGAUGUGAAAUCCCCGGGCUCAACCUGGGAACUGCAUUCGAAACUGGCAGGCUAGAGUCUUGUAGAGGGGGGUAGAAUUCCAGGUGUAGCGGUGAAAUGCGUAGAGAUCUGGAGGAAUACCGGUGGCGAAGGCGGCCCCCUGGACAAAGACUGACGCUCAGGUGCGAAAGCGUGGGGAGCAAACA
rnacentral:rRNA from 1 species